rnacentral:rRNA from 1 species
UACGUAGGGGGCAAGCGUUGUCCGGAUUUAUUGGGCGUAAAGAGCGUGUAGGCGGCCAUGUAGGUCCGUUGUGAAAACUCGAGGCUCAACCUCGAGACGCCGAUGGAAACCAUGUGGCUAGAGUCCGGAAGAGGAGAGUGGAAUUCCUGGUGUAGCGGUGAAAUGCGCAGAUAUCAGGAGGAACACCGGUGGCGAAGGCGGGGUCUCUGGGCCGAUACUGACGCUGAGGAGCGAAAGCGUGGGGAGCAAACAGG